UUCCCCGUUUGAUGUUCAGCUUCAAGUUCUGUUGUGUCGAUAACGGUUCGCCAAAACCGUCGAUUGCUUCGUACCCAAUCAAUCUACCACAGAUCCUGAAAACGGAACUGAUAACGGGGUUCUCG
rnacentral:sRNA from 1 species